rnacentral:lncRNA from 1 species
UUACAAAGUUCUUGAAAUUCCUGUCAUGUAGUUACUUCUUUAAAACUUCGAGUAACUUCGACAGUAAACAGCACUGUCCAGCUUGUCUCGCUAAAGCUCUGGACAGAAUGGACUGAACUGACCGGGAGUUCUCAAGCUGUGGUGUUGAGUGCCCAGCUGAAGUCUGCUCGGAUGUUACCUCUGACCCCAGGGCUUUCCUCCUCCUGGUUCCGCCGAAGAACCAUGAAGCCUCCUUUGUAAGUGCGAGACCAUCAAUCUAUCAGUCUGAGCCUCCAGGUCUUUUCAGUAUACGUUCACUAUACUUUGCCACAUACACCGAGCCGCUGAUAACCAACAUUUAAAACAACUGGCUCGUCGGGGACUUUGGGACUGGGACUUUUUAAUGAAUGACUUCAUUAAAAAAAGAGCUGUACACUAGGACAGCAGAGUAGGGGCUCCCAACUAUUUAAAUCUGCAAAAGUCAAAACUAAUUGGAUAAAGCUUAGAAAAGGCAAUAACACUAAUCAUCC